GAUGAACGCUGGCUGUGUGCCUAAUACAUGCAUGUCGAGCGAAGCACUUUUGUGCUUAGCGGCGAAUGGGUGAGUAACACGUACUUAACCUACCCUCAAGAUUGGGACAACACUUGGAAACGAGUGCUAAUACCAAAUACGUAUUUUUAUCGCAUGAUAGAUAUAUAAAAGGAGCUUCGGCUUCACUAGAGGAUGGGAGUGCGCUACAUUAGUUAGUUGGUAGGGUAAUGGCCUACCAAGACUAUGAUGUAUAGCGGGGCCGAGAGGCUGAUCCGCCACACUGGGACUGAGAUACGGCCCAGACUCCUACGGGAGGCAGCAGUAGGGAAUUUUCCACAAUGAACGAAAGUUUGAUGGAGCGACACAGCGUGCAGGAUGAAGGUCUUCGGAUUGUAAACUGCUGUUAUAAGAGAAGAAAAACCCUGGUAGGUAAUGACCAGGACUUGACGGUACCUUAUCAGAAAGCGACGGCUAACUAUGUGCCAGCAGCCGCGGUAAUACAUAGGUCGCAAGCGUUAUCCGGAAUUAUUGGGCGUAAAGAGUUCGUAGGUGGUUUUGUAAGUCUGAAGUUAAAUACCGGGGCUCAACCCCGGCCCGCUUUGGAUACUGCAAAACUAGAGUAAUAGAGAGGUUAGUGGAACUCCAAGUGAAGCGGUGGAAUGCGUAGAUAUUUGGAAGAACACCAAUGGCGAAGGCAACUAACUGGAUAUUAACUGACGCUGAGGAACGAAAGCGUGGGUAGCAAACAGG
rnacentral:rRNA from 1 species